GGAGUCUGGGCCGUAUCUCAGUCCCAAUGUGGCCGUUCAACCUCUCAGUCCGGCUACUGAUCGUCGCCUUGGUGGGCCGUUACCCCUCCAACUAGCUAAUCAGACGCGAGGCCAUCUCAGAGCGAUUCCUCUUUGGCAACCAAACCAUGCGAUCCAGUUGCAUCAUGCGGUAUUAGCAGCCGUUUCCAGCUGUUGUCCCCCUCUCCAAGGCAGGUUCCUCACGCGUUACUCACCCGUCCGCCACUUUCCUCGCUUUCCGUUGUCCGAAAACUCCUUCCAGCGAUUCUCGUUCGACUUGCAUGUGUUAAGCACGCCGCCAGCGUUCGUCCUGAGCCACUGAUCAAACUCU
rnacentral:rRNA from 1 species